UAACGCGAAGAACCUUACCUGGGUUUGACAUGGAUCGGGAGUGCUCAGAGAUGGGUGUGCCUCUUUUGGGGUCGGUUCACAGGUGGUGCAUGGCUGUCGUCAGCUCGUGUCGUGAGAUGUUGGGUUAAGUCCCGCAACGAGCGCAACCCUUGUUCACUGUUGCCAGCACGUUAUGGUGGGGACUCAGUGGAGACCGCCGGGGUCAACUCGGAGGAAGGUGGGGAUGACGUCAAGUCAUCAUGCCCCUUAUGUCCAGGGCUUCACGCAUGCUACAAUGGCUGGUACAGAGAGUGGCGAGCCUGUGAGGGUGAGCGAAUCUCGGAAAGCCGGUCUCAGUUCGGAUUGGGGUCUGCAACUCGACCUCAUGAAGUCGGAGUCGCUAGUAAU
rnacentral:rRNA from 1 species